UCAGUCGGCUGGACGGCCGCUCCGCGCCAAUGCCGAAAGGCGGCCGGAGAGGAAAGUCCGGGCUCCAGGGACAAACGGUGCCGGAUAACGUCCGGCGGGUGCGAACCCAGGGACAGUGCCACAGAGAACAGACCGCCACGGUCACGUUGCGUAUCGACCGCGGCAAGGGUGAAACGGUGCGGUAAGAGCGCACCGCGCUUCCGGCAACGGCGGCGGCACGGCAAACCCCACCGGGAGCAAAACCGAAUAGGAACGGCGUGGACGCAAGUCCGAUCGGUCCCGAUCAGCCGUUCGGGUAGGUUGCAUGAUGCGCCGGGCAACCGGCGUACCAGAGGAAUGGCCGUCACGUUCGCGGGCUUGCUCGCGGGCCAUACAGAACCCGGCUUACAGGCUGGCUGAUCUA
rnacentral:RNase_P_RNA from 1 species